AGUCUGUGAUGCUGUAAGAGUAGUGGACAGAUGUGAUUUCUGAUAAAUUUUACACUGAGACU
rnacentral:snoRNA from 1 species